GUUUUCCUUUCAGGAGCACAUAUCCUAAAACUGGGAUGACACAAGAAGACUAGCAUGGCCCCAUGUGCAAGGAUGAUAUGCAAAUUCUUGAAGCUUUUCAUAUUUUU
rnacentral:snRNA from 1 species